rnacentral:rRNA from 1 species
UACGGAGGGGGCUAGCGUUGUUCGGAAUUACUGGGCGUAAAGCGUGCGCAGGCGGUUUUGUAAGUCUGUCGUGAAAUCCCCGGGCUCAACCUGGGAAUUGCGAUGGAGACUGCAAGGCUAGAAUCUGGCAGAGGGGGGUAGAAUUCUACGUGUAGCAGUGAAAUGCGUAGAGAUGUGGAGGAACACCGAUGGCGAAGGCAGCCCCCUGGGUCAAGAUUGACGCUCAUGCACGAAAGCGUGGGGAGCAAACAGG